rnacentral:rRNA from 1 species
CCUACGGGAGGCAGCAGUGAGGAAUAUUGGUCAAUGGGCGCGAGCCUGAACCAGCCAAGUCGCGUGAGGGAAGACGGCCCUACGGGUUGUAAACCUCUUUUGCCGGGGAGCAACGGGCGCCACGUGUGGCGCCACUGAGAGUACCCGGAGAAAAAGCAUCGGCUAACUCCGUGCCACCAGCCGCGGUAAUACGGAGGAUGCGAGCGUUAUACGGAUUUGUUGGGUUUAAAGGUUGCGUAGGCGGCGCUGUAAGUCAGUGGUCAAAUUGAGGGGCUCAACACCUUCCCGCCAUUGAAACUGGCGCUCUUGAGUGGAAGAGACGUAUGCGGAAUGCGUGGUGUAGCGGUGAAAUGCAUCGAUAUCACGCAGAACCCCGAUUGCGAAGGCAGCAUGCCGGCUUCCGACUGACGCUGAAGCACGAAAGCGUGGGGAUCGAACAGGAUUAGAUACCCCAGUAGUC